UGGGGAAUAUUGGGCAAUGGGCGCAAGCCUGACCCAGCAACGCCGCGUGAACGAUGAAGGUCUUCGGAUUGUAAAGUUCUGUCGCAGGGGACGAAGUAUGACGGUACCCUGUAAGAAAGCCCCGGCAAACUACGUGCCAGCAGCCGCGGUAAUACGUAGGGGGCUAGCGUUGUCCGGAAUUACUGGGCGUAAAGGGAGUGUAGACGGCUUGUCAAGUUAUAAGUGAAAGCCUGCGGCUCAACCGUAGAAUUGCUUAUAAAACUGACUCGCUAGAGUGCAGGAGAGGUGAGUGGAAUUCCCAGUGUAGCGGUGGAAUGCGUAGAUAUUGGGAGGAACACCAGAGGCGAAGGCGGCUCACUGGACUGUAACUGACGUUGAGGCUCGAAAGCGUGGGGAGCAAACAGG
rnacentral:rRNA from 1 species